GGGGGCGUACUGGUUUCGACGGGGAUGGUGCAGCAGGAUCAGCGAGCGGCGGCGCCUGACCGCCAUAAAACGGGCAACUUAUAAAUCAAAUAACAACGAUAAUACCGUUGCUGUCGCUGCCUGAUUAGGCGCGACCGUCCCGGCCGGAAGGGCCACGAGCCGGUUCGGGGCGUGACUUGAGUGGCGAACGUGAGUACGGUAAGCUUUGCCCGUGCCAUGCAUCAUGAAGCUACUAACCGCCGUAGUGUGACGGCUCACGCCGGCGGAAGGGAAUGUAAAUAACCGUCUGCGCUCGGAGAAAGUCCUGUGAAUCUGUUUUCGGACGCGGGUUCGAUUCCCGCCGCCUCCAU
rnacentral:tmRNA from 1 species